ensembl:lncRNA
UGUAGCAGUAUGGAAAUAGGAUUGUCCUGCUACAGUUAACUGCGCCUGCCGACCACUAGGGCGGCGGUAGUAUAUAAAGGCUGCCCCCCUUCUCGCGCCCCACUGAUGCAUCAUUUCCGGGUCAGGUGUCUGUCCGCGCAGAGUAGCGACAGAGGACUCCGUGCCCCUUUUUGCUCUUGGGUCCUCUCCGUGUUAGACCGAACGAUAUUCUGUAGCUAACGUUAUUGUGGUCACAGGUAGAUGUCUUCCUGCCGUGUGGGUCUUUCUCUCCCUCCCUCUCCCUGUGCAGGUUUGACCUGGGAAACAGGGAAUGCUCAUCAGCUGGCCGAAAUCCACAGCGGCUGUAGGCUGGUGGUGGCGCCGGUGGUGUGGGUGGUGGUGGUCUUCCUCGUGUGUCGUGUCCCAUUGGAUUGUUGUGCUAUCACUGGGUGAACUCUGGUUUGGUUUUCUCUAAGUUUGUUCUAUUAAUUUUCCUUCCCCUUCAUCGGCGCUUCUCACCAUUAGGCCUUAGCGAUUAGUUUCCUUUUCUCAUUUU